GUCUUCAGGCCCUUCUCUUUCGCCUCGUCCCGGAGCUCGGUGAGCCACUUGAGGAACAGCGGGUUCGGGCAGGACGGCAGGACCCGUUUCCGACCCAGCCGGACCGGUUCCGAAGCUGGCAUCCCUCUGGACCUGACAGUUUAUAGAGGACUUGCUGAGACUUGGACCAGAUGACUGCCAUGAGGCUGGACUCAGACCGUUAUCCAGUUGCUACCUGAAUGCACCUCCGUGUGUCCCGAGGCUGAAGAGGAGUCUGCAGGAAUCCUCCAACAAGACCCGACAGAGACCAAGAAUCCAACCUCACCCUCCCAAUCACAGUGCUAAACACACGGUCUGAAGCUGGGGGGAAAAGUUGCAUAAUUGGAGCUUCAUACUCAUCUUUCAGGCACUCGCACUCAGAGAGUUUUGAAGAUGCAGCGUGAAUCAUUACAAACUCAGGCUUUUGUAUUCAGAGGAGACACAUUUAAAGUUGUAAAAUGAGGCUAGGCCAUUGGAGUGAAGGGGAAAAGAUGAGGAUGCCGAACAGCUAAUGUCAAUUAUUUUACUUACAGAGGGAUGAAAUAACAUUUCAGUACUGACCACAGUGACGUACAGAUCGUCAUACCAAGAAUUCAUUUUGUGCCAUGUGGCAACUUCUUCUGUCAUCACUCAGCUUCUGUAAUAUUUCAUGAGUAGUUUUAUUGUUUAUGUUUGUUGUUGUUUGUAUUCUAAGAUUUGACAGCCUAGAUUUGGAAAUAUAAGAUUAAUUUUCUUUUGUCAAAAUUAUGUAGUUUCUCUCUCGGAUCACGAAUGUGUCUGUAAGUCAGGAAAUCUUGAUAUUAAGUCAUUUACAGGUUAAAAAAGCCACAUAUUGUUCUGUUUUUUGGGGGGUGUUUUUUUUGUUAAACAAGCUUGUUUCAAGUAAUACCCUGCACUAGAAUUAAGUAACAUUCCACUUAAAUCCCCGUUUUCAUCUUGUUCUUUGACCAUCCAUUUCCAGUGUGCUUAGAUUCAGAAUGCAAAAAUAAUUAUUUAA